CACAAUCAUAAUCAUCGUGGAUUAACUCACGUCAGUCGUUCGUCUAUCGUGGAUUUACAUCAUCGUUUUUGUGGAUUUUGUCAAACUAAUCUUGGGCUAAUCAGUGGAAGAUUACGUUAGCCUACGAAUGAAGACCAAAGACGAUGUUUCAGGAUCAGGAAUGUGAUUCGAAAGUAUAGAGAAAGCAAUUACCACAAGAUAUUUGCAAGAAGAUUCAAAGUGUACUCUGCAAACUUUGUAUAUACAUGUGAAGUAUUGUGAGAGGAGUACUCUUAGGAAUGUCAUUGACGAGGGAUAGUGCAAGGACCAACGGAGAAUGUGGCCCCUUCUCCGUGAGAUUGUAGAAGGCUUGGUUCUCGUUCUUUUAAAGCUAACUUUAUGUGCUAACUUUGUGUAUGUGUAAAUAAACAUGAAAAAAUGUGAACAAUUUUCGUUUAGCUCAAUAAAUAUAAAUAAAACUUA